rnacentral:rRNA from 1 species
CCUACGGGUGGCAGCAGUAGGGAAUAUUGCUCAAUGGGGGAAACCCUGAAGCAGCAACGCCGCGUGGAGGAUGAAGGUUUUCGGAUUGUAAACUCCUUUUGUUAGAGAAGAUAAUGACGGUAUCUAACGAAUAAGCACCGGCUAACUCCGUGCCAGCAGCCGCGGUAAUACGGAGGGUGCAAGCGUUACUCGGAAUCACUGGGCGUAAAGAGCGCGUAGGCGGGAUAGCAAGUCAGAUGUGAAAUCCUAGGGCUUAACCAUAGAACUGCAUUUGAAACUGUUAGUCUAGAGGAUGGGAGAGGUAGGUGGAAUUCUGGGUGUAGGGGUAAAAUCCGUAGAGAUCAAGAGGAAUACUCAUUGCGAAGGCGACCUGCUAGAACAUAACUGACGCUGAUGCGCGAAAGCGUGGGGAGCAAACAGGAUUAGAUACCCCAGUAGUC